rnacentral:rRNA from 1 species
CCUACGGGAGGCUGCCGUGAGGAAUAUUGGUCAAUGGGCGUAAGCCUGAACCAGCCAAGUCGCGUGAGGGAUGAAGGAUCUAUGGAUCGUCAACCUCUUUUAUAAGGGAAUACAGUGCGGGACGUGUCCCGUUUUGUAUGUACCUUAUGAAUAAGGAUCGGCUAACUCGGUGCCAGCACCCGCGGUACUCCGGAGGAUCCGAGGUUUAUCCGGAUGUGUUGGGUUUAAAGGGUGCGUAGGCGGCCUUUUAAGUCAGCGGUGAAAGUCUGUGGUUCAACCAUAGAAUUGUCGUUGAAACUGGGAGGCUUGAGUAUGUGUGAGGCAGGCGGAAUGCGUGGUGUAGCGGUGAAAUGCAUAGAUAUCACGCAGAACCCCGAUUGCGAAGGCAGCCUGCCAAGCCAUGACUGACGCUGAUGCACGAAAGCGUGGGGAUCAAACAGGAUUAGAUACCCCUGUAGUC